CAGAGGCGGAUCUAGACAUUAGAAAAGGGUGGUUCCUAAAAGCAAUUGGUAAAAGGAUAACGAGCCCGAAGGGUGAGUGUUAAGCCGCGCGCAGCGCGAAAAAUUGGACAACGCCCAUUUCCGGUGUCGUUUCCUGUCACCUGAGUGCUAGGCCGAGGGCUAGGGAGGUCUAUUAUAGUACCGUAGUAGAUGUAACAUUAUGUCUAGCUAUAGCUAUGGCUCCAGUGCAGUGAUAGUAAGAUCAAGAAGUUAAACAAAAGCUGGUUGCAUCGGUCACGAUUGAUUUUCAUUAAAGCAAGUGAACCCAAUCUCGAUUCCGACAUGGUAGCACGUCGGGCUGUCUUGAUACUUGUGAUCUCUUGUUAAACUCUUAAUAUCUACCCUGAGUUAAGGAGUUUCCCAAUGUCGCAAUCAUCACUUGAGGUAGCACCACCUAAGCCACACCGGAUAACGCAGUCACCCUCCUCCAUAUCAAGUUCACUGUCUGAAUCUUCAGUGUCAUUGGGGACGUCAGUAGGGGGAGAUGAAGGGGGAGACGAGUCAGCGGGGCUGACAAUAGCAUCCUGUGACUCUGAACCUACAAUUGAAGUUGUUUUUAUUUAUAAGUUUUGUUGUUUAUUUAUCAUAAUUUAUAUGAUUUGGAUUUUUAUUUAUGUGAAACCGUACCUGCUUUACUCUUUUUGAAAAAUGUUGAAAUUGGCACUUGA